GAAGUCUUAGCUUAAUUAAAGUAUCUGCUUUGCAUGCAGAAGAUGCGGAAUAAAACUUUGCAGAUUUUA
rnacentral:tRNA from 1 species